rnacentral:lncRNA from 1 species
GUUUUCUGUUUUAGAUUUGACUUGAGUCAGUUGUUCCUGCUAGCUAUUUAGAUGAAAUAUAUGGAAUAUCACUUAAUAGGCAGAAGCGCUGAUACAAUUUCCUCUUAAAGGAUCUGAUUCCUGGCAUCCAAAGGAAACUGGAAUUCAAGUUCGUAUUAGAACUUGAAUUUGUUCUGCCAGAGUGAAAAUUGGUUCCAUUAGGCCUCAGUCACAGAAUUCUUACAGACCUGGCUAGAGCUGUAGAUAUGAUAUAUCCAACUAGCUGAAAAUCAUAGUCUUAAGUAAUGCUGCAUGUGCUUUGGAAAACCAUCCAGAGGGUUUUAAUUUUUUUUUUUUGAAUGAAAAUUUCCUAAUUUUACAGUUGUCAUAAAUCUGGAACAAGUCUAAUUAAGGUCAUCAAGGCAAGUGAAAAUCUAAUGAGCAAACUUUGGAAAUAACAUGAUGAGAAUAAUUUAAAUGUGAAAUAUUAAAUUGUGGCAAUGUUUAGCAAGGAUUCUUUCCUUAACAUUUUUCUUAUUCAUUUGCCCAUACUUCCCUCUCUUUGCAGAUUUAUAGUGCUCUUGGGGAGGCUCCUGGAAGAAGUGAUAUAUCAGACAGACAUACUAUUCAAAAGCUUAAAACUUAGCAUCUGACUAUAAACACCAUGCCACAAAGAAGCUUGGGAUGAAGGAUCACGAGGCGAGAGGAGUCCAGCACCCAGCACACCCACUGGGAGCUACAUGCAUGAGACCCCACCCAAUCAGCAGAACCAUACAGCCAACAGAAUCAUGAGAAAUAAGAAGUUGUUGUUGUUCUAAGCCACUAAGCUUUGGAGUGGCUUGUUACACAUCAAUAGGUAUCCAUGCUUGCAACUACUACAAUCAUCUAAAGUUGAGAGAGGCCGGGCCCGAUGGCUCACUCCUGUAAUCCCAGCACUUUGAGAGGCUUAGGCGGGCAGAUCACUUGAGGUCAGGAGUUCGAGACCAGCCAACAUGAUGAAACCCUGUCUUUACUAAAAAUACAAAAACAAGCCAAGCGUGGUGGCUUGUACCUGUAAUCCCAGCUACUCAGGAGGCUGAGGUGGGAGAAUCGCUUGAACCUAGGAGGUGAAGGUUGCAGAGUGCCGAGAUUGUGCCACUGCACUCCAGCCUCAAAAAAUGUUGAGAGAGAUUUUGUUGAUAUAGCAAGAGUAUAAAUUGUGCCGGGACGGUGGCUCAUGCCUAUAAUCCCAGCACUUUGGGAGACUGAAGCAGG